AUUGAACGCUGGCGGCAUGCCUUACACAUGCAAGUCGAACGGCAGCACGGACUUCGGUCUGGUGGCGAGUGGCGAACGGGUGAGUAAUGCAUCGGAACGUGCCAUUGAGUGGGGGAUAACGUAGCGAAAGUUGCGCUAAUACCGCAUAUUCUGUGAGCAGGAAAGCAGGGACCGCAAGGCCUUGCGCUCUUUGAGCGGCCGAUGUCAGAUUAGCUAGUUGGUGAGGUAAAGGCUUACCAAGGCGACGAUCUGUAGCGGGUCUGAGAGGAUGAUCCGCCACACUGGAACUGAGACACGGUCCAGACUCCUACGGGAGGCAGCAGUGGGGAAUUUUGGACAAUGGGGGCAACCCUGAUCCAGCCAUGCCGCGUGAGUGAAGAAGGCCUUCGGGUU
rnacentral:rRNA from 1 species